rnacentral:rRNA from 1 species
UACGGGAGGCGGCAGUGGGGAAUAUUGCACAAUGGGCGCAAGCCUGAUGCAGCCAUGCCGCGUGUAUGAAGAAGGCCUUCGGGUUGUAAAGUACUUUCAGUCGUGAGGAAGGUGUUAAGGUUAAUAACCUUAGCAAUUGACGUUAGCGACAGAAGAAGCACCGGCUAACUCCGUGCCAGCAGCCGCGGUAAUACGGAGGGUGCGAGCGUUAAUCGGAAUUACUGGGCGUAAAGGGCACGCAGGCGGUUAAUUAAGUUGGAUGUGAAAUCCCCGGGCUUAACCUGGGAAUGGCAUUCAAGACUGGUUAGCUAGAGUCUUGUAGAGGGGGUUAGAAUUCCAUGUGUAGCGGUGAAAUGCGUAGAGAUGUGGAGGAAUACCGGUGGCGAAGGCGGCCCCUGGACAAAGACUGACGCUCAUGUGCGAAAGCGUGGGGAGCAAACAGGGAUUAGAUACC